CGCAUCUGUGCAUGCAGCAUAUCAAUAAGCGGAGGAAAAGGAACUAACAAGGAUUCCCUUAGUAACGGCGAGUGAAGCGGGAAGAGCUCAAAUUUGAAAUCUUCAAGGUUUUACCUUGACGAAUUGUAGUUUAAAGAAGUGUUUUCUGUUGAAGUUUUGGUAAAAGUUCUUUGGAAUAGGACAUCAUAGAGGGUGAGAAUCCCGUAUUUGACCAUUAUUUUCAGCUGUGUGAUACACUUUCAAAGAGUCGGAUUGUUUGGGAAUGCAGUCCAAAAUGGGUGGUAAAUUUCAUCUAAAGCUAAAUAUUGGCGAGAGACCGAUAGCGAACAAGUACCGUGAGGGAAAGAUGAAAAGAACUUUGAAAAGAGAGUUAAACGGUACGUGAAAUUGUCAAAAGGGAAGCGUUUGACACCAGUGUUGUUUUCUCGAAAAUCAAUUAAAAAGAGUUUGAUUUUGUUGUGUAUUGACCUUAACAGCAUGCAUUUCAAUUUUCUUGCUUUUUUUAAUGCACUUUUCGUUUAACAAGUCAACAUCAGUUUCUUUUGUUGUAAAAAGGUCAUUGGAAGGUGGCUUUCUUUUCGGAGAAAGUGUUUAUAGCCUUUGACUCCUGCAAUCGGAGAGACUGAGGUCUGCAGCGUAGAUCCUUCGGGGUUAGAUACAUUUGUGCUAAGUUAUAGCUUUUUAUAGACAACUUGUUGACUAUGAUUAGUCUUGUAGCUUACUCGCUUAUGCUAUUUUACCUACGCUUAGGAUGUUGAACUCUAUCACACACAG
rnacentral:rRNA from 1 species